GACGAACGCUGGCGGCGUGCCUAACACAUGCAAGUCGAGCGGAGUCGAUCGACGGAAGCCUUCGGGCGGAAGAUGGUUGACUUAGCGGCGGAUGGGUGAGUAACGCGUGGGCAACCUGCCUCGAAGACCGGGAUAACAGCCCGAAAGGGCUGCUAAUACCGGAUGUGGUCAAGGAUCCGCAUGGAUUUUUGAUUAAAGGGGAAACCCGUUUCGAGAUGGGCCCGCGUCCUAUCAGCUAGUUGGUGAGGUAAAAGCUCACCAAGGCGACGACGGGUAGCCGGCCUGAGAGGGUGACCGGCCACACUGGAACUGAGACACGGUCCAGACUCCUACGGGGGGCAGCAGUGGGGAAUCUUCCACAAUGGGCGAAAGCCUGAUGGAGCGACGCCGCGUGAGCGAAGAAGGCCUUCGGGUUGUAAAGCUCUGUCUGGAGGGACGAAGGAAGUGACGGUACCUCCGGAGGAAGCCACGGCUAACUACGUGCCAGCAGCCGCGGUAAACCACUGUACAGU
rnacentral:rRNA from 1 species